GGACUACUGGGGUAUCUAAUCCUGUUUGCUACCCACGCUUUCGUGUCUCAGCGUCAACAAUGGUCCAGAAAGCCGUCUACACCACAGGUGUUCCUCCUGAUAUCUACGCAUUUCACCGCUACACCAGGAAUUCCGCUUUCCUCUCCCACGUUCGAGCACCCCAGUUUCCGGCGCACCCUCCCAGUUGAGCCGGGAGAUUUCACACCGAACUUAAGGCACCGCCUACACACUCUUUACGCCCAGUAAUUCCGAACAACGCUCGCUGCCUACGUAUUACCGCGGCGGCUGGCAC
rnacentral:rRNA from 1 species